rnacentral:tRNA from 1 species
GUCCCGGUAGCUCAGUUGGAUAGAGCAGCGGCCUUCUAAGCCGCAGGUCGAUGGUUCGAAUCCAUCCCGGGACG